rnacentral:rRNA from 1 species
CCUACGGGAGUCAGCAGUGGGGAAUAUUGCACAAUGGGGGAAACCCUGAUGCAGCGACGUCGCGUGAGUGAUGAAGUAUUUCGGUAUGUAAAGCUCUAUCAGCAGGGAAGAACAUGACGGUACCUGACUAAGAAGCCCCGGCUAACUACGUGCCAGCAGCCGCGGUAAUACGUCGGGGGCAAGCGUUAUCCGGAUUUACUGGGUGUAAAGGGCGCGUAGACGGCAGCGCAAGUCUGGAGUGAAAUCCCAUGGCUUAACCAUGGAACUGCUUGGGAAACUGGGCAGCUAGAGUGCAGGAGAGGGAAGCGGAAUUCCUAGUGUAGCGGUGAAAUGCGUAGAUAUUAGGAGGAACACCAGUGGCGAAGGCGGCUUACUGGACUGUAACUGACGUUGAGGCUCGAAAGCGUGGGGAGCAAACAGGAUUAGAUACCCCAGUAGUC